AGAGUUUGAUCCUGGCUCAGGAUGAACGCUAGCUACAGGCUUAACACAUGCAAGUCGAGGGGCAGCGGGAUUGAAGCUUGCUUCAAUUGCCGGCGACCGGCGCACGGGUGAGUAACGCGUAUCCAACCUUCCGUACACUCAGGGAUAGCCUUUCGAAAGAAAGAUUAAUACCUGAUGGUAUGAUGAGAUUGCAUGAUAGCAUCAUUAAAGAUUCAUCGGUGUACGAUGGGGAUGCGUUCCAUUAGGUAGUAGGCGGGGUAACGGCCCACCUAGCCGACGAUGGAUAGGGGUUCUGAGAGGAAGGUCCCCCACAUUGGAACUGAGACACGGUCCAAACUCCUACGGGAGGCAGCAGUGAGGAAUAUUGGUCAAUGGACGAGAGUCUGAACCAGCCAAGUAGCGUGAAGGAUGAAGGUCCUACGGAUUGUAAACUUCUUUUAUAAGGGAAUAAACCCUCCCACGUGUGGGAGCUUGCAUGUACCUUAUGAAUAAGCAUCGGCUAACUCCGUGCCAGCAGCCGCGGUAAUACGGAGGAUGCGAGCGUUAUCCGGAUUUAUUGGGUUUAAAGGGAGCGCAGACGGGUCGUUAAGUCAGCUGUGAAAGUUUGGGGCUCAACCUUAAAAUUGCAGUUGAUACUGGCGUUCUUGAGUGCGGUUGAGGUGUGCGGAAUUCGUGGUGUAGCGGUGAAAUGCUUAGAUAUCACGAAGAACUCCGAUUGCGAAGGCAGCACACUAAUCCGUAACUGACGUUCAUGCUCGAAAGUGUGGGUAUCAAACAGGAUUAGAUACCCUGGUAGUCCACACGGUAAACGAUGGAUACUCGCUGUUGGCGAUAUACUGUCAGCGGCUUAGCGAAAGCGUUAAGUAUCCCACCUGGGGAGUACGCCGGCAACGGUGAAACUCAAAGGAAU
rnacentral:rRNA from 1 species